AUUGAACGCUGGCGGCAUGCCUUACACAUGCAAGUCGAACGGUAACAGGGAGCUUGCUCCGCUGACGAGUGGCGAACGGGUGAGUAAUGUAUCGGAACGUACCAUUCAGUGGGGGAUAACGUAGCGAAAGUUACGCUAAUACCGCAUAUUCUGUGAGCAGGAAAGCAGGGGAUCGCAAGACCUUGCGCUGAUUGAGCGGCCGAUAUCAGAUUAGCUAGUUGGUGAGGUAAAGGCUCACCAAGGCGACGACCUGUAGCGGGUCUGAGAGGAUGAUCCGCCACACUGGAACUGAGACACGGUCCAGACUCCUACGGGAGGCAGCAGUGGGGAAUUUUGGACAAUGGGGGCAACCCUGAUCCAGCCAUGCCGCGUGAGUGAAGAAGGCCUUCGGGUUGUAAAGCUCUUUCGGCCGGGAAAAAAUCGCAUCAGUUAAUACCUGGUGUGGAUGAUGGUACCGGAAUAAGAAGCACCGGCUAACUACGUG
rnacentral:rRNA from 1 species